rnacentral:rRNA from 1 species
CACAUGCUGUGAGCUCGAUGAGUAGGGCGGGACACGUGGUAUCCUGUCUGAAUAUGGGGGGACCAUCCUCCAAGGCUAAAUACUCCUGACUGACCGAUAGUGAACCAGUACCGUGAGGGAAAGGCGAAAAGAACCCCGGCGAGGGGAGUGAAAAAGAACCUGAAACCGUGUACGUACAAGCAGUGGGAGCACAGAGCAAUCUGUGUGACUGCGUACCUUUUGUAUAAUGGGUCAGCGACUUAUAUUCUGUAGCAAGGUUAACCGAAUAGGGGAGCCGAAGGGAAACCGAGUCUUAACUGGGCGUUAAGUUGCAGGGUAUAGACCCGAAACCCGGUGAUCUAGCCAUGGGCAGGUUGAAGGUUGGGUAACACUAACUGGAGGACCGAACCGACUAAUGUUGAAAAAUUAGCGGAUGACUUGUGGCUGGGGGUGAAAGGCCAAUCAAACCGGGAGAUAGCUGGUUCUCCCCGAAAGCUAUUUAGGUAGCGCCUCGUGAAUUCAUCUCCGGGGGUAGAGCACUGUUUCGGCAAGGGGGUCAUCCCGACUUACCAACCCGAUGCAAACUGCGAAUACCGGAGAAUGUUAUCACGGGAGACACACGGCGGGUGCUAACGUCCGUCGUGAAGAGGGAAACAACCCAGACCGCCAGCUAAGGUCCCAAAGUCAUGGUUAAGUGGGAAACGAUGUGGGAAGGCCCAGACAGCCAGGAUGUUGGCUUAGAAGCAGCCAUCAUUUAAAGAAAGCGUAAUAGCUCACUGGUCGAGUCGGCCUGCGCGGAAGAUGUAACGGGGCUAAACCAUGCACCGAAGCUGCGGCAGCGACGCUUAUGCGUUGUUGGGUAGGGGAGCGUUCUGUAAGCCUGCGAAGGUGUGCUGUGAGGCAUGCUGGAGGUAUCAGAAGUGCGAAUGCUGACAUAAGUAACGAUAAAGCGGGUGAAAAGCCCGCUCGCCGGAAGACCAAGGGUUCCUGUCCAACGUUAAUCGGGGCAGGGUGAGUCGACCCCUAAGGCGAGGCCGAAAGGCGUAGUCGAUGGGAAACAGGUUAAUAUUCCUGUACUUGGUGUUACUGCGAAGGGGGGACGGAGAAGGCUAUGUUGGCCGGGCGACGGUUGUCCCGGUUUAAGCGUGUAGGCUGGUUUUCCAGGCAAAUCCGGAAAAUCAAGGCUGAGGCGUGAUGACGAGGCACUACGGUGCUGAAGCAACAAAUGCCCUGCUUCCAGGAAAAGCCUCUAAGCAUCAGGUAACAUCAAAUCGUACCCCAAACCGACACAGGUGGUCAGGUAGAGAAUACCAAGGCGCUUGAGAGAACUCGGGUGAAGGAACUAGGCAAAAUGGUGCCGUAACUUCGGGAGAAGGCACGCUGAUAUGUAGGUGAAGCGACUUGCUCGUGGAGCUGAAAUCAGUCGAAGAUACCAGCUGGCUGCAACUGUUUAUUAAAAACACAGCACUGUGCAAACACGAAAGUGGACGUAUACGGUGUGACGCCUGCCCGGUGCCGGAAGGUUAAUUGAUGGGGUCAGCGCAAGCGAAGCUCUUGAUCGAAGCCCCGGUAAACGGCGGCCGUAACUAUAACGGUCCUAAGGUAGCGAAAUUCCUUGUCGGGUAAGUUCCGACCUGCACGAAUGGCGUAAUGAUGGCCAGGCUGUCUCCACCCGAGACUCAGUGAAAUUGAACUCGCUGUGAAGAUGCAGUGUACCCGCGGCAAGACGGAAAGACCCCGUGAACCUUUACUAUAGCUUGACACUGAACAUUGAGCCUUGAUGUGUAGGAUAGGUGGGAGGCUUUGAAGUGUGGACGCCAGUCUGCAUGGAGCCGACCUUGAAAUACCACCCUUUAAUGUUUGAUGUUCUAACGUGGACCCGUAAUCCGGGUUGCGGACAGUGUCUGGUGGGUAGUUUGACUGGGGCGGUCUCCUCCUAAAGAGUAACGGAGGAGCACGAAGGUUGGCUAAUCCUGGUCGGACAUCAGGAGGUUAGUGCAAUGGCAUAAGCCAGCUUGACUGCGAGCGUGACGGCGCGAGCAGGUGCGAAAGCAGGUCAUAGUGAUCCGGUGGUUCUGAAUGGAAGGGCCAUCGCUCAACGGAUAAAAGGUACUCCGGGGAUAACAGGCUGAUACCGCCCAAGAGUUCAUAUCGACGGCGGUGUUUGGCACCUCGAUGUCGGCUCAUCACAUCCUGGGGCUGAAGUAGGUCCCAAGGGUAUGGCUGUUCGCCAUUUAAAGUGGUACGCGAGCUGGGUUUAGAACGUCGUGAGACAGUUCGGUCCCUAUCUGCCGUGGGCGCUGGAGAACUGAGGGGGGCUGCUCCUAGUACGAGAGGACCGGAGUGGACGCAUCACUGGUGUUCGGGUUGUCAUGCCAAUGGCACUGCCCGGUAGCUAAAUGCGGAAGAGAUAAGUGCUGAAAGCAUCUAAGCACGAAACUUGCCCCGAGAUGAGUUCUCCCUGACUCCUUGAGAGUCCUGAAGGAACGUUGAAGACGACGACGUUGAUAGGCCGGGUGUGUAAGCGCAGCGAUGCGUUGAGCUAACCGGUACUAAUGAACCGUGAGGCUUAACCUU